GCAUUGUGUCAAUAAUAAGUGUUGCUGUGAAGAGAACAAUAGUCAGACUGAAUGUUGAACAUCAGCUAGUUUCUCCUGCUGAUUUAAACCUUGUUGGACAGAUGGAACAUUGGCUGUGGAUUAUUCUAGCUGCUCUUUUCUUUGAGUGUAAAGGAGACUCAGUGACGCAGACAGAAGGACAUGUUGCUGCUGCUCAAGGAGAAUCUGUGACUCUGGGAUGUGAAUACCAGACUACUUAUUCAUCCCCCACCUUGUUCUGGUACAAAAAGGAAGAAGAUAGUUUCCCACAGUACAUGCUGAAGCGUCGGUCAACUAUAGAAGAUAAUGCUCCGGAUUUUAAGGACAGAUUUGAUGCCGACCUCAAUAGUAACAAGAAAUCCUUUAAUCUGACGAUCCAGGAUCUCCAUCUGUCAGACUCUGCUGUGUACUACUGUGCUCUGCAGCCCACAGAGACAGGAAACACCAGAACUCUGUACAAGAACCUGCAGCGCAAAGACUUCACUAUAUUCAGCAACAUCCACUAGAGGGCCUCACCGCCACUCUACUUGGCGUGUCACGAUUUAGUCAACUUUUGUUGGGAUAAAACUUUUACCACAGAGAUGGAGGGUAAUGAUUUCAAAAACAGAAAGCUGAUAAAAAUGAGUUUAGCUUGGAUUGAAUCUAGAAAAAUCUUAAACCAAGACCAGCACUUGUUAUGAUUAUAGGUAAAUUUUAACAGGUAAAGAAUACACAGUUUAAGUUUUUCCCCCUUCCAGCCAAUGUAUGUGAUGUAUGUGAUGAACGGUUUCUACUGAAACUGAAAUCUCGAUGUAAAUCGUAGUUAACUAUAAAGAAAUUGAUUGA